rnacentral:lncRNA from 1 species
UCCAUACACCAUAGAAAAUAUGUAGAGAAAUCAUAUCUUUGAUAGUACAUAUAUCAUUUUCAUAUCCUAGGCAAAAGGAAGGCACAGUCCCUGUUGCUUUGGCUCGUAUAGAGGCCAAAUACCAUAGAAAAUAUGUAUGAAAGUCACAUUUUUGAUAGUACAUAUAUCAUUUUCAUAUUCUCUCCAACAACAUUAUAUACAUAAGAAAACACAAAAUAGAUGUACUAAUGUCAUCCACAGUAAGUGGCCAAGGCUUUGUUAGAAUGUCUCAUUAGUUGGGGAAUGAACUAUUAUCUCUUAUAUGUUCCUGAGCAUUUUCCCAUCAAGAGCUACUCUUUUGGAUUUGAGUUAGGUCCGAUGCCACUUUUUAAUAUUACAGCUAGAGCCAUCUCUUUUCCAACUUACUCAAAAUUUGCUCCCCAUUCUACAGAAUCCACGCUCCACAUGUCCGGUUGUGGGCGUGCCACGGGUUGCUAGAAUGUUUCAUUUUGAUUGAGGGAAUGGGCGGUUUCUCCUUACACGGUCUUGAAAAAUUUUCAAGUCAUCAGCUAACUUUUGGGUUUGAGUUAGGCCAACGUCCAUUUUCUUAACAAGCUUCACUCUUUGAGCCCUGUAUCACUUUAUGUGAAGUUGAUGCGAGGGGAAGAGGACGAGGAAGU